UUUGACGAAAUAGCUUGAGAAUGAGUAGAGUCCUGACUUUAUUCAUAUUGUACAUUUUUGUAGAUACCCACCCAUCAUUCAGUCGACUACUAACCAGCUUUCGGUGGUAUUCCGAUCAAAUGGAAGGAUAACACGCACUGGAUUCAUGGCGCAUUACCGCAUCCUGAAAGAUAAUGAUACAAACCAAGGAUGCUUACAAGACUGUCCAGCUGAUUGCCAAUGUCGAAAGCUGUCUGAUGGAAAGAUAGUUGUCUCGUCACGAAGUAUCAGUGCAGUUCCUCUUCGAUUUCCUCGUGAAACAACAGUCAUGUAAAUAAAACUUUCAAUUUUAUAUUGAAACUUUCAUUUUUUAACAACUAAUGUUUAACAAUUAGAAAAACACAAUUAUUGGGUUCUUAUAUAAUUGGCACUUUAUAAGGUUAAUUUUGGCUACAAAAAUUCGGAAAA